rnacentral:rRNA from 1 species
GACGAACGCUGGCGGCGUGCUUAACACAUGCAAGUCGAACGGAAAGGCCCUGCUUUUGCGGGGUGCUCGAGUGGCGAACGGGUGAGUAACACGUGAGUAACCUGCCCUUGACUUUGGGAUAACUUCAGGAAACUGGGGCUAAUACCGGAUAGGAGCUCCUGCUGCAUGGUGGGGGUUGGAGAGUUUCGGCGGUGGGGGAUGGACUCGCGGCUUAUCAGCUUGUUGGUGGGGUAGUGGAUUACCAAGGCUUUGACGGGUAGCCGGCCUGGGAGGGUGACCGGCCACAUUGGGCCUGAGAUACGGCCCAGACUCCUACGGGAGGCAGCAGUGGGGAAUAUUGCACAAUGGGCGCAAGCCUGAUGCAGCGACGCCGCGUGCGGGAUGACGGCCUUCGGGUUGUAAACCGCUUUCGCCUGUGACGAAGCGUGAGUGACGGUACCUGGUAAAGAAGCACCGGCUAACUACGUG